CCCGUUCCGAGAAGAACCUCUUACGGGAGUAUCUUAGUUGGAUUUCGGAAGGUCCUUAGCAAUCCGCCCCUUCGGGGAGCGGGUUGCUGGCCUCCUAUGUUCCUAACGGUCCUCGUCCGCGAGGGCGGGGAAUCAACCGCUAGGAUCGUUUACUUUGAGGAAAUUAGAGUGUUCAAAGCAGGCGUAACUCGCCUCCGAAUACGUUAGCAUGGGAUAAUGGAAUACGACUUCGGUCUUGUUUCAUUGGUUUCGCUUGACUGAAUUAAUGAUUGAUAGGGACAGUUGGGGGCAUUAGUAUUUAGUUGUCAGAGGUGAAAUUCUAGGAUUUACUAAAGACUGACCAAUGCGAAAGCAUUUGCCAAGGAUGUUUUCAUUAAUCAAGAACGAAAGUAGGGGGAUCGAAGACGAUCAGAUACCGUCGUAGUCUCUACCGUAAACUAUGCCGACCAGGGAUCCGGAGAGUUUGCAUGGAUGACUCCCCGGGCACCUUGUGAGAAAUCAUAAUUGUUUGGGUUUUGGGGGGAGUAUGGUCGCAAGGCUGAAACUUAAAGGAAUUGACGGAAGGGCACCACCAGGAGUGGAACCUGCGGCUUAAUUUGACUCAACACGGGGAAACUUACGAGGUCAGGACACUGUGAGGAUUGACAGAUUGAAAGCUCUUUCUUGAUUCAGUGGGUGGUGGUGCAUGGCCGUUCUUAGUUAGUGGAGUGAUUUGUCUGGUUAAUUCCGUUAACGAACGAGACCUUUACCUGAGU
rnacentral:rRNA from 1 species